ensembl:lncRNA
GCUGUCCACCUAGGCCAAAAGCAAUCCUGAGUCAUUGCUUGAAAUUGCCUCCACCUGUGAGCUUGGGUUAUGUUCCAGCAACUGAAAGAGGUGUUGAUUCAUUUCAGGCCUAGUUUGUCUAUGAUGAAGUUCAACCCACCACAGAGGGACUCAGGGGAACUCCACUGUGGGCUCCAGGUCUGUGAUUUAUGUUUUGCCUGUGCUUUUCUCUGCACUGUUGAGAGGGAGGUAGACAUCAGAUGUGUCUAGCUCAAAAGAUAAUGCACAGGACAGAACAAAGGUGGGCAAGAAGAUCUUGUAGGUGCAAACCAAACGCUGAUGAUGAAACAACCAGCAAAGUGAAGCAACUACAACAGCAACAGCAAUCCUCUGGAAUCAGGUCCAAAAGGCAGACCUUGGCAGUGGUAUCCCUGGAGAACACACAUCAGCAUCUAACCCUGUCUCAAAGGAAGAACCUGGACCUUCUAGAGCUGCUAACAUUGAGGAAAGCAGGAUGGGGGAUAGAGAAAAACAAAUUUCAUGUUACAUGGAUUGAGCUGCCAGAUCAAGUUUCUGCUGAAGAUACAGGCACUUGAAGAAAAACUGCAAUCUGAGAAAUGAAGGAGAACCAUGUGCAGAGGAUUUUGAGAGAUGUGGCUAUAAGGAGGUGGAUAAUAGGAAGAGGCGAACCAUUGGACAACCUUAAGAUUCUUCCUGCAGAUAGGUGUUAGAGUUGGAGUUUUGGCUGCUCAAACUGAAGCAGAAGAUCCUCCACCAAAAUUUCCUUCAAUAGGGGAAUCAUCUUGUGUAGAAGAUAUUAGAGUAAUGAUAGGAAGGAAGGACUGAAUGAGAAUGCGGAAUGAGCUCGGGGAAGUUUUAAGGGGAGAGGAGAUUCUUACACUAGGCCACAGUGCAAUAAAAAGAACCAAGAGUUUAACAGCAUACAUGGUGUACCUACCAAGUACUGGGCACAGUGUUAUUUACAUACUUGGGAACGAGAAGAACAGAUAGGAUCCUGUCGAUAUAAACUUACAAUAGUUGUCUCAUUGAAGAUGCUGCCAGAGUUUCCAUUAGCAAGCAGCUUUAAACAGCUUUCUAAAAUAAGAAAGGGAUAUGGGAUGUAAGAAGCAUGGUGGCAGUCACUGGAAAUGGCAAACAUGGCUAGAGCAAUAUAUGAGGUUCAUGCUGGUGUCAAUUUCAGCACUCAAGCCCUAGAAGCCUAGUAUUUUUUUUUUGCCUUUAGCACCUUGAUAUUAAAAAUAUUCUUGACUCUUCCUUUAAUCCUUUCUCUGAGUAUUCAUAUAGACAUCACUUAGGGCUAUGAGCUCAUAAAUGAAAUAGGAUCCAUGCCUUGAUGAAACUGCAUGGGAGGUAUCCAAGAAAAAUCUGCUCUAGGAAAUGAUUUGGUAAUUCAACAUGCUGGCACUCUUUCUUCUGAACCAGCUUGUGCCAGCUUUGGUGUCAGGGGCCACUGUGGAAAGGGCUGGCUUUCAACUGAGUUACAACAUGGAGUCAUAUUAAUCUUCCCUGGUCAUUAAAGGUCCAGCAGCCUUUUCUACCCAUUUAGAGACUUCACUUUAAUCAUUUAGCCAAAAUCCAAUUUAGGUAAUCCAACCCAGAAUUCUCCAGUAAUUUCACUUGGAUAAGCCAUAGCAUUUUUUUCUUAUCUCUGCCCCCCAAAACUGGCAUCAUGUUAUGUACUACUAAACAUGUUUCACCACAAGCUGGCUGAGGCAGCAGGAAGCACAGUAAUUGUGUUUUGCACUUACCAACACCUUCUAGAAGCCAAGUUUAUAAACCACUUGCCUAUUUGACAAGAAUGAAAAAGGAGGAUCUUUCAUUGCAUCCUUCUUUUAAAAUUUUUUUCUAUUUUUUAAUUUAUCUGACCGCACAGGGUCUUGGUUGCAGCAUGGGAUCUCUUAAUUGCAGCACCCUGAAUCUUCAAUGUUCAUUAUGGCAAGUGGAAUCUUUAGUUGGACUCUAGGAUUUAGUUACCUAAGAACUAGGGAUUGAACCUGGGCCCCUGCAUUGGGAGCUUGGAGUCUUAGCCACUGGAUCACCAGGGAAAUCCCCAUUCCACCCUUCUUUAUGUCCCAUCUUUGAAUUGUAUUUGUCCUAAAGAAUUCCACAGAUAAUGAGUGGGUUUAUAUUAAAGGCAGUUCAUAACAACAUCUUAAUUUCCUUUAGUUAAAACUAAUGUUUUAAAAUUUGGUCUUUCUGUUGCUAGAUGAGGAAAAUUAAGGCCAGACCAUAUUUAGAUCAGUUAUUGUUUGCUUUUUAGAGAUAUCUGUCUUGAAAACAAGUCUUGAAAAUUAAUAUUAAUUUCAAAAGCACUCUUCGUGAAGUAAACACAUUGACUUGUUUGUUUUCUUUUUAAUACAAUUAAAUCCAUAUUUAUGAUCAGUAUCCUUAGUCUCUGGCACCAUCCUGGGCCUUGUUGAGGACAGGCUGAAGAAGUUCAAGGUGCUAUGCUUGCCCCUAAAGGAUCUACACUCUCACUGGGGAGGCUAAACACACAUAAAAUGGUGACGCAGCAGACAGAAUAUGCUAAAACGCUGUGCGUAGAUGUGGUGGAGGAGUCACGC